UCCAAGGAUCAAACUUUAUUUAGACUAAACCAUGAUUAAACUACAUUCUCUUGUUGGGUUAGUGUCAAAAUUAGAAAGAGAAAUGAACUAUCCAAAAAAUCUUGAUGGGUUUCAUUUUGAUUGGAAAAAUAUUUUCGGAUCAAUGGAAACGAUUCUUUGGCACAAGAAUGAAGAAAAAUAAAAGAUUAAACCAUUUACAAACUACUGCAACAACAACACCACCACCAAAUUGCAAGGAGAAAAAUAAAAUCAGUUGUUGAGCAAAAUAUUAUUGUGGGCAAAGAGUGACGGCAACAAAACGGCUGAAAUGCCAAAACUGUGACGAGCUGUCAAAAAGACAGUGUGUCUAUAUGAAUGACAGUGAGUACAACGGGCGUGACACAGUCAACCAUGUCAUAAACUGCAAAGGGUGCAAGAAAUAUAAGACUGUGACGUUGAUUCCCGGAUAAUAUGGGAGGCCGUUCACAGCAGAGGAUUCAACGAGCGGAGCUUAUGCUCCAGUGAUGCUCUUCGAAUGCGAUGAGAUGACUCCUGAAGGAUACGAGUUCAACGGCGGCCGGAAGCUUACUACUGUAAGAUCCUCCUCCAAUUUCAUAACUUCCUAUUCCACUAACUAAUGUCCUUUUUUUUUAGCAGUCAAUGAUAUUUUCAAGUAGGACUUGGGUGAGGUUAUCGACAAAGUGAACUUGGGGAACGACAAAGUUUAAGGGCAAGCUUGAUAUGUAUGGCAAUAAGCUUAAGGUGGAUAACACAAAGGGAAAGUUUAUGAUUCACCAAGCAAGAACAUGUUUUAAUCCCCUGUGUCUAGGAAAAUUAACUUGCAUUGUACAAAGAUGUUGAAUGGUUUGUUUAAUUUGCUCGUUUAAUGCAGUGUUGUAGGUUUAUUAGUUGCAACUGUUUUGUGGUUUGAAAAAGUUGACCACCUACAUCAAUUGUGACUGAGUAAGUAGAUUUAGGAUUUAAGUUUUAUGGGUUUAACCUUUAAGGUUUUUAGUAUUGAACCAAUUGUCUUUUUAAAGUUAUGGGUUCAUAUAUA